CGCGCCAACCCGUCUCUUGGCAACAGCCUCAGGCCGCUAAACUGUCGGAGUGGCGCUCCGAGCGCAUAGCCCUCUGGGAAGCGUAGUAUAGCUGGAAGGCUCAUAGGACUCUCGAGGCUGCAGGCUUUAAGCCUGAGAACUACAAUUCCCGACGUUCACCAUGAGGGCCAGGGGGUAGGAAGAGCCCCUAGGAGCUCGGUCCGGGGUUCCUGGUUCCCUAGUGACAGCAGCGACAGGAAGCAGGCAGGCAUCCCCUCAUCCCCAGCGCUAGGCCUGUCCUCGGAGGGGUGCACUGGAUACUUUCCCGCAUAACUCCCAUCUCUGACCCCAUGGCGAAGUCCCCAGGGAACUCUACCCUGGAGGACAGUCUGGGGCAAUACCAACGGAGUCUCCGGGAACGUGCCAAUAGAAGCAUUCACCAGUUGAAAUGUGCCCUGAGAGAAGUGGAUGUCACUGUAGAAGAAGAUGCACUGGAUCCUUCCACCAGCAUCAACGUAGAAAAUGAGGACACAGGGGUGGCCUGGCAUGAGCUGCAGCACAGCCAUGCUGUCAAUCAACUGAAAGCUUUGUUGCGUCAACAAACAAAUAAGGAAAAUGAGACAUCUCCACCGCGAAGACGAAAGUUGUCCCCUUCGCGGCCGUCAGAAUGUGACGAUGGCAGCAUGCCCACCAUGCACAACCUCGUUCCUAUCAUUAACGACCAGUCUCAAUAUAUCCACCACUUAGAAGCAGAAGUCAAGUUCUGCAAGGAUGAAUUGUCUGGAAUGAAAAAUAGGGUGCAAGUAGUUGUACUUGAGAAUGAAAGGCUCCAGCAAGAACUGAAAUCUCAAAGACCGGAGGAGACAUUGAGGGAGCAAACAUUCCUGGAUGCAUCUGGAAACAUGCAGAAUUCUUGGAUUAUGACACGAGAAGAUUCUAGGGUGGAUGAAGCUGCAAAGAGACCAUUUUCUCAUGGUGAUGCUGAAACUGGCAAAACUGCAUCCACUGGUGAUGCCAAUAAAUGGAAGCUGGAGCUGGAGAGGCUGAAACUCACAUACGAGGCGAAGACUGACCUUCUGGAAUCUCAGCUGAUGCUUCUGAGGAAAGACUUAGCUGAAUACCAGAAAACCUGUGAGGAUCUUAAGGAAAGAUUGAAGCAUAAAGAGUCUCUUCUGGCUGCGAGUGCAUCCAGCCGUGUGGGUGGCCUCUGUUUGAAAUGUGCUCAGCAUGAAGCUGUUCUUUCCCAGACACACAGCAACGUGCACAUCCAGACCAUCGAGAGGCUGACUAAAGAGAGAGAUGACUUAAUGUCUGUGCUAGUCUCUGUGCGGAGCAGCUUGGCAGAAGCGCAGAAGAGAGAGACAAGUGCCUAUGAGCAGGUGAAGCAUGCUGUGCAGAUGACAGAGGAAGCCAACUUUGAGAAGACCAAGGCUUUGAUCCAGUGUGAGCAGCUGAAGAGUGAGCUGGAGAGGCAGACAGAAAGACUGGAAAAGGAGCUUGCCUCUCAGCAAGAAAAGAGGGCUGUGGAGAAGGAGAUGAUAAAGAAAGAAGUAGCCAGAGAGAGGGAAGAUGCAGAGUCAAAGUGUACUGGAAACCACUGUGCAGACAUUUCCAUCAAGCUCUCUCAACCUCGGCGUCCUUGUCUCUCCCUUGCCCCUGUCAAAGUUUAAAGGACUUACCUGAUGUCAGUGCCUUAGACAUCCAGCUGUGCUGCAGCUGUCUGUGUUACUUCUGGCUCUGCAACAGAUGUGGAUGGAGAAACUCCUGCAGUGUAAUGCUGACUUCCAGAUGAUGUUGAUCCUGUCUCAGAAUAUUGCCAAGCUGGAGGCCCAGGUUGAAAAGGUCACCAGGGAGAAGACUGCAGCUGUCAGUCACUUAGAGGAAAUUCAGAACCACGUUGCGUCUCAGGAAAUGGACGUCACAAAGGUGUGUGGAGAAAUGCGCUUUCAGUUGAAUAAAACCAAAAUGGAGAAGGAUGAGGUGGAAAAGGAACACAGAGAAUACAAAGCAAAGUCUCACAAGGAUCUUGAAAUGAAAGUCCAGGAAAUAGAGAAGUUGAGACUAGAACUGAGCGAAAGCGAGCAGCAUGUGGAACAGGAGCAGCAGAAGGCAGCUCGGGCCAGACAGGAGUGCCUGCGAGUCACAGAGCUGCUGGGCGAGGCCGAGCGCCAACUGCACCUCACCAGACUGGAAAAAGAUAGCAUUCAGCAAAGCUUUAGCAAUGAAGCAAAGGCCCAAGCCCUUCAGGCCCAGCAGAGAGAACAGGAGCUGACACAGAAGAUACAGCAAAUGGAGACCCAGCACGACAAAACUGAAAGUGAACAGUAUUUACUGCUGACAUCCCAGAACACAUUUCUGACAAAAUUAAAAGAAGAAUGCUGCUUGUUAGCCAAGAAACUGGAAAAGGUCUCACUAAAGAGCAGAUCGCAAAUAGUUCGACUUAGUCAAGAGAAGAGAUACUUGUGUGACAAGCUAGAGAAGUUACAGAAGAGAAAUGACGAACUAGAAGAGCAAUGCAUCCAACAUGGGAGGGUGCAUGAGACCAUGAAGGAAAGGUAAGGUGUGGGGAAUUGCAGGCUGGUAUCCAGUCGAGCUGAGGUCUGAACCCCGAUGGUCAUAAUUUACCUACAUGACACGGUAGGCAUUGCCUCAUGCUCCUGGAACUCUGGCCCCUGCCUAAGGUACUACCUCCCACAGCCCCCACAAGAGAAGCAUGGUCAGUAGUCACAUCAGCAAUGGCCCAAGCUUCUGACCUUCAGGCUAAACUCCUCCCCAGUUACCUAGCAACAGUGAAGACCAUAAAAAGGGGUGUUCAGCCCCACCAUGCUCUCUUACUCUUACUCGUUUGUCCUCUUACCUCUCACUUCUCUCUCCUCUUCCCUUUCUCUUUUCCUUCUCCUCUCCUCUCUCCUUUCUCUUUCUCUCUAGCCUCCCCCCCUCUUCUUUUCUACCUUCUCUUUCCCCUGCAUUUUUAUAAUAAAGCUCUUAAACC